rnacentral:rRNA from 1 species
UAGUAUUCAAUUGUCAGAGGUGAAAUUCUUGGAUUUAUUGAAGACUAACUUCUGCGAAAGCAUUUGCCAAGGAUGUUUUCAUAAAUCAAGAACGAAAGUUAGGGGAUCGAAGACGAUCAGAUACCGUCGUAGUCUUAACCAUAAACUAUGCCGACUAGGGAUCGGACGAUGUUAAUUUUUUAAUGACUCA